rnacentral:rRNA from 1 species
AUUGAACGCUGGCGGAAUGCUUUACACAUGCAAGCCGAGCGGCAGCACGGGGGUAACCCUGGUGGCGAGCGGCGAACGGGUGAGUAAUACAUCGGAACAUGCCCAGUCGUGGGGGAUAACACUUCGAAAGAAGUGCUAAUACCGCAUACGUCCUGAGGGAGAAAGCGGGGGAUCGCAAGACCUCGCGCGAUUGGAGUGGCCGAUGUCAGAUUAGCUAGUUGGUGGGGUAAAGGCCUACCAAGGCAACGAUCUGUAGCUGGUCUGAGAGGAUGAUCAGCCACACUGGGACUGAGACACGGCCCAGACUCCUACGGGAGGCAGCAGUGGGGAAUUUUGGACAAUGGGGGCAACCCUGAUCCAGCCAUUCCGCGUGAGUGAAGAAGGCCUUCGGGUUGUAAAGCUCUUUCGGCAGGAACGAAACGGUGAGCUCUAACAUAGCUUGCUAAUGACGGUACCUGAAGAAGAAGCACCGGCUAACUACGUG